GAAUCUCACCUUUUUUUUUUUUUUUUUUGUGGUAUUGGGGAUUGAACUUGGGUCCUUGCACUUGCGAGGUAGGCGGUAGAACCACUGAGCUAAAUCCCCAGCCCAUAAAUGGGAUGUUUCACAUCUCAGGCACAGACAACUUGGAGGUUGCUCUCAGAGGGCAGACUUUUUGUAGAGGAAGUCUGGCUUGCUCGGAGACCUCCUUCCUCUGCUUAUGGAAUCUUCCCUUUCCAGAUCUGUGCUUCUUUGAGCUCCAUGGCCCAGGGACUCACUGUCAGCCAGUCUUCUACUGGAUCGCUCUUCUGGAGCUUCGGAGCUACAUGCAGAAUGUGAAGAUGGUCUGGUAGGAGUCAGCCCAAAAGUCAAGUCGGUUUCUACUCCGGUUCGUCCCCUGACAUGGGCUGGAUCAUUACCAGCAUUUUCUGGGGCUGCUAAAGGAAAGUCUGACCGUGGGGGAGGUUGCUCAACGACAUCCAGACGAAUCAGCUCACUCUUCUGUCUGUGUGGGCCCAUCAGAGAGGAAAGUGGAUAUUCUCUCCUCACUUCUUCCUGUUUUUUAGGAGAGGUCUGACUAGGUUGGCAGGCUGACUUUAAGCCACUUGGUGAUGCCUUAUUGUGGCUAUACAAAUCAGGACCAAAAUAUCCACUGUGUGAAGGGAAGGGGUGCGUCUGCCAGGAGCAGGAGUAGAAGGUCUGCAAGCAGCAUUUGAGAAGUCAUAGAAAUCUGGGUAUUCCUGCCUGCUGACUUUCUCUAGCAUCUGUUUUUUGCUCUAGUGUAUGUUUUUUCCGAGAAGUAUGUGUAUGUCUCUGUGGAAUACAUGAGAGAUGCUGGGGAGGCCCUGUUCCUGCUUCAGAAACUGGCUGGCUUAUUUCUGUGUCUGCAGCAAGUUCUGGAAGCCUCCUGUCCUUGAGUGACAGUGUGGAUACCCCCAUGGCGAUAUCUGGCAUCAGAUCAUUCAGCACAGGCUGUGUACACUGAGACACAAACAAAGGGGGAGGGUUAAAAAGAAAGCCCAGGGUGUGAUGGCGCAUGCCUGUAAUCCCAGCACUCGGGAGGCUGAGGCAGGAGGAUCACUGUGAGUUCAGAGGCCAGCCUGGGGAACACUGUGAGUUCAGGGCCAGCCUGAACUACAAACGGAGACCCUGCCUCAAAAAAAUCUAAAAACAAAAACAAAACAAAGGAAAGGGAAAGGGAAAAAAGGCCCAACAAUUCCUCCUGGUCACUGAGUUUGUUUCCUGAUGGUAAACGUAAUACGUAAUACUUGCUUAAUUUAAGAAUUUUUAAAAUACAGAAAAUUAUAAAGCAGAAAAAACUCCUAACUUGCCCUACAGAGACAAUCAGUUAACAUUAUGAAAUAUUUACUUCAUCUUCAAUUUUCACAAUCAGUGUACAUAUAAUCCUGUCACUAAAUUUUCUUUGUGAUCACUAUUUGAAAUUACUGAAUCAUGUUCCACUAUUAACUAUUCUUCUACUAUUAGGUUAUUUCCUUUUUUUGAGACAGCAUCUUACCAUAUAGUCCAUGGUUGGCCUUGAACUUGCUAUGUAGCCCAGGCUGGGCCUGAACUCUGGAUCCUCCUGCCUCAGCCUCUGGACUGCUUGCAUUACAGGUGUGUGUCACUACACCCAGUUUUCAAUUUUUUAUUAUAAUCAAGACUACAAUGAACGUACUAACAAGUUACCUUAAAGGGGGUUUAGGGGUCAGGAAGAGCAGAGAGAGCAGCUCAAGAGGGAUAAGAAUGUGAGAAAGGCUCUAGUUUGACUCCACAUGUACACUAACCCAUCGCUUCCAAUAAGCCCUUUUUAUUGAAGCUUCUCUGAACACAUGUAUUUUUCAUAUUUUUUUUCUAUUCAAUGCUACUGACAGCACAUGAUACAGUAGGAAGACUUAAAAAUCACUGUUUUUCUCAAAUGUAUUACAUAAAGCAGUUCAACUUCAGCUGCAGUACAAAAGCAGGUGCAGAAUCCUCUCAAUUACCACCUACUUGCCCUGGCUCCUGAGGCUCCAAGUCAAACAAGGAGCUGAAAGUGAGCUGGCCAGAGACAGAGACAUGCAUGAGAACUCGCUUUCUGCUUGUUUUCUGAGUGGGGAGUCUUUGCCACAUCGGUCCUGCUGGUAUGCCUCGCUCUAACUAAUUUCUCUUAAUUGUCCCACCAAAGCAUUUGGUAAAACAGCAGUCAGGGACAGAUUCUAGGCAUGUGCUUGAUCACAUUAGGACACCGACGUGUCCAUUUGUCCUGCUCAGUCACGACACUACUCCUUACACUGGCAACUAAGAUAAGGGUGACGUUCUUUGUACCCAUCUCGUACCUCCAGUCUCUUGGCUCCUGCCCUUUCCCAGAGGCUGAUACUAGCUUUCUUCUCUCUCUCUUCACACCCGUCUGUUGCAUACGCUGAGCCUGUAGUAACACUUCCGAGCCUGGUCAGUCCCAGUGGGGCUCAGGGAGCCAAGGGAAUAGUUUCUAGUAACCCAUACCCUUCCAUUUGGGGCAAGUGACUUGGAUGUUAACUUACCAUUUGUUUCUCAGAGGCUACUGCUACUGAGGCAGCAGCGGCUGCAGCAGCGGUGGCAACUGUCUGUCUCCCCAGUCCUGCGGUGGUGGUACAAUCAGGUGGCGCUGCUUUAAUACUUGGCAAAUAGACUGGGGGAGGGCCAGCUUUGGGUGCUGUUCUGGAGUGAAACAGCGAAUGAUUACAGGGGUAAGAAAAUGAACGUGAAGGGUGCUGACUAGGAGGUCUUUGUUUCCAGCCUGCUUUGAGUUGGUUAUGGAUUGGGGUGGCUGGAGGGUGGUAUGGAGGGGGUGNNNNNNNNNNNNNNNNNNNNNNNNNNNNGGGGGUGGUGGGGGCAAGGGGGGAUGGAAGGCCACAAAGGAGUCCAGGUCUGUAAACAUGGUUUCUGCAGUAGGGGUACUGUUAAUGCGACAUCUUCCAGGCUGUCUCAUUGUCAGGAGUGGACUUUCAUCCCCAAAACGUUCGUCAGGAAAGAAUUUGUGAGGGUUCUAAAACAAGAUUAAAAAACAAAGGACAUUUAUUAGCAGAUUUCAUAGAUGGCAAUUUACAGGGUGAGAGAGUUAAGUCAAGUAUCUAAGAAAACCACCUUUAACAAGAGUAUACGUUAAUAGAAUUUUCUAAGCCAGAAGCCCAGGGAAAAAAUCACCUUAAUAAUAGUACGAAGGACAGAGAGCAGGCUAGGAAGCUUAAGAUAGAGCUAUCUAGGAGAGCUGCCCUCCCGACUAUUCCGGCAAGCAGGUCAUCUCUUGCAAGACUAGGUAAGUACUUUAGGGAUAGAAACCACAGCGGGGGAAAAAUCCCCAACCAAACAAAAACCAAGAACCUUAAAAUAGCCUGGUGCCUUGUCUAAGAUGCCAGUGCCCUAUUUACCCAGGAUCAAGGCUGAU
rnacentral:lncRNA from 1 species